rnacentral:rRNA from 1 species
UGGGGAAUAUUGCACAAUGGGCGCAAGCCUGAUGCAGCCAUGCCGCGUGUAUGAAGAAGGCCUUCGGGUUGUAAAGUACUUUCAGCGGGGAGGAAGGCGAUGUGGUUAAUAACCGCGUCGAUUGACGUUACCCGCAGAAGAAGCACCGGCUAACUCCGUGCCAGCAGCCGCGGUAAUACGGAGGGGGCAAGCGUUAAUCGGAAUUACGGGGCGUAAAGCGCACGCAGGCGGUCUGUCAAGUCGGAUGUGAAAUCCCCGGGCUCAACCUGGGAACUGCAUCCGAAACUGGCAGGCUUGAGUCUCGUAGAGGGGGGUAGAAUUCCAGGUGUAGCGGUGAAAUGCGUAGAGAUCUGGAGGAAUACCGGUGGCGAAGGCGGCCCCCUGGACGAAGACUGACGCUCAGGUGCGAAAGCGUGGGGAGCAAACA